AACGAACGCUGGCGGCAUGCCUAACACAUGCAAGUCGAACGAGACCUUCGGGUCUAGUGGCGCACGGGUGCGUAACGCGUGGGAACCUGCCUUUAGGUUCGGAAUAACUCAGAGAAAUUUGAGCUAAUACCGGAUGAUGUCUUCGGACCAAAGAUUUAUCGCCUUUAGAUGGGCCCACGUUGGAUUAGCUAGUUGGUGGGGUAAAGGCCUACCAAGGCGACGAUCCAUAGCUGGUCUGAGAGGAUGAUCAGCCACACUGGGACUGGGACACGGCCCAGACUCCUACGGGAGGCAGCAGUGGGGAAUAUUGGACAAUGGGCGAAAGCCUGAUCCAGCAAUGCCGCGUGAGUGAUGAAGGCCUUAGGGUUGUAAAGCUCUUUUACCCGAGAUGAUAAUGACAGUAUCGGGAGAAUAAGCUCCGGCUAACUCCGUG
rnacentral:rRNA from 1 species